UGGCUUUACUAAUCAAAGCAGCCUGUUAUUGCCACAUCUAAUAGCAGUAGGCUUCACUUCUCAUUCAGCACGAGUGCUCAGUAGUUUAUAAAAUUUCUCAUUUAAAUGGACUUUGUUUUAUUAGAAUUAGCAGGCCAAUCCCAUCUCUCCUCCUACAACUCUCCCCCUCUUGUUUUAAGUAAGAUGAGACACUCAUAUUGAUUAGUACAUCAUUGUAACAGAAAUGUGCAAGUGGGAUGGGGAGCCCUCCCCACAGCUCUAUGUGAGCAUGGAUCCCAUACUAAUCCCAGGGGAUCCCCAAAUUCAUUGUCAGUAGAAGAGAAAAUCAACACCAGGCUGUGAUUUCAGCUAUUGACUGCCACAGCAGAGAGGAGUGCUCCUACACCUACCACCCUGCUCACUGCCUGUUUGAACACCCACGGAUGCUGGGAGGAUAAAUCCAGGGGCAGGGACACCAAAGGGUCAGUCUAGGCUGGAGGAAUGCUCAGCUGGGUCCCUCCCCACCUCUAACCACACUCAGCACCCCUGACCAGUGUGAUUCAGGGAACAACCCCACCUGAAAAGGGCCAGGUUAGCACAGCUGGGUGCUGGGGAGGUUCCCCUUUCCUCCCACACUUCUCUCUGCCUUUGUCUGCUGGUACAUCUAGCACUUCCCUGCAGCCAGCUCAUGAACCUGCUCUACUUUUUCUUUAUUUCUGACACCAUUACACCUUUGAAAGGGGCUGGUCUCUCCAGUAGUAGGGCUAAAGGUUUAGCUAUUCUGAUUAUAUUACAGAUCCCACAGCCAGGUCAUUACAUCUGUUUCUGUGUCCUCCAGUGGAGUGGAAAGGAAGAAGAGAAAGAGAUCUGAAAAACAUUUCCAUCUGUUUUGCCAGAGGUGAAUAUCAGGGUUUCCCUUUGUUUCACUGUCAGAUUAAAUCAUAGCCAUGGGAACUAGUGACCAGUGAUUUCAGGGUCUGCAUCUGUAAAGGAAAGAGAGUUUCAAUAUGAGGGCAAUUUAUUUCACUUAAUUAAACCUACUGAUUUGCAGUAUGAAUCCAUUCAGUAAAAUGCCCUUUUAAUAAGUAAAAGAAUACCUUUCAGAAUUGAGAGAUUUGCAGUUGUGAUCUUCAGUUCCCACUUCAAUUCUGCUGCAAGGCUGUUCUUGGAAAUGAGGGGCAAGCAUUCCUCUCCAAGGAGAGUCCAUUUCAUGAGUGUCUGGUGGCAUACUUAUCUGCUCACUGUAUCUCUCCCAAAAUCUAGCAUCUCACUGGAAUUCUUUCUUUUAAACUAAUUAGGCAAUUUUAUACAUAGUUCCAGGAGUACCUCUUAGGACAGCAUUAAUUUUAAUAGCAUCUUAAAAUGACAAAAUCAAGAUAUGCCACCAGCAGUGAAUGCACGUAGCUAAUAGAUUUUCUUCAUGCUGCUCUUGCUUGACAUGACAUUUGUCAUAGCAGUGGUCCUGCUUCAGCACCAUUCUCAUCCAUUCUUUAUCCACUGAUUUUUCUAUCAUAACUUAUCUUUUACAAGCAGCAUAAUUUCUGCAUUACCAUAUAGGCAAUGUCACAUACUUAACAAACUCUUCAUAAACAUUUACAUCAGCAGCUGUCUGUUAGACAUCAAAUGUUCUUUUCUGGAGGAGCCUGCAGUUUCAGCUAUUAUUAUUAUGGUAAAUCAUCUCCCAGAAACAGUGUUAGGAAUAUGCCUCAUAAAUUUAAGCGUUGUUACCUCCCACAAACAGCCUUCACCCAAACAGCUGUGGGAAAUUGUCCCUGCUCUUUGUCAGCAAUCAGGAACGUGCAGGCUGCAGGCAGUGCUGAGGAAUGACACAGCAGCCACCCCCUCCACUAGACAGCCCCCAUCAGACCAGCCUGACUGGCCAUCUCUUGGCACAAGUUCCUGUUUUCCUAUUUUUACUUGAAUCUUCCCUUUUUUGUAUUUCUUCAGAGAGUCUGGGCCACUUGAUGGUAUUUGUGGCUGUUUGAAGAAAAAGUGCUGUUUUGCAGUGACACAAAGCAGCGUGGUAAUACCAAAAUUUGUCUUUCAUCCAGUUUUUGUUAGGAAGGCUGGUUUGUGAGACAAUGCUUGUGGGUACUCACUCAAAUGGGGUUUGCACCUAAAGCUAUGUGAGAGCAGAAACAGUUUGGUGCCAUCAGUCACAGAACAAUGCAGACAUUAAAAAUCUGAAUCCCAGGAAGAACAGUUCUAUAUUCCAGAGCCAUCUCAGAUUUGGUCAACUGAAGAAAAGGAAACACAACCACUGCUAAAUCUUUACAGUACAAAGUUAUUGCUUGAGUGUUUGACUUUGGGCUGCACCUCACUGGAACCUGGCAAUGAAGUCUGCAACUGGAGACCUAAUGCUGUCCAGCUGGGGCAAGGAGCAGGAAUGCACAAGGAUGGAGGCUCAGAAGGGCUUGUGUUUUCUUCCUGCUGCUAAAAGUGCACAGGGACAGUGAAGAGGGGAAGCAAAGCUGAUUUGUGAUGUCUGGAAUCUACUCCUCAGGACUGUCAGCUGAGGGGAGCUGUCCUAGAGAUCCUUGGAGAAAAUAGAGGGGAGGAUUUUUAUGUAUGGAAAGAAAAUUCCUCUGUAGGUUUAGAGAGAUGAGAUGAAGAAGAAAACAGCUGACCUGGCUGCAGAAAUGGGAGGAAUUCCAAGCAGCAAGGCUUGCUCUGCUGUGCAGGUUUCCCCCUGCACUGUUUCCACCCCUCCCAGCACCUACCUGGAGCUAGCUGAUGCCUACAGCAAAGAGGAGUUCAGGACACAGCAUCCUCCUUAGGAAAAGCACUAUAAAGCUGUGGUGUGUUAAACGUUAUAGCUGAUGAAAUCCUCAUUCCAUUGAAGGCAAUGCCAAAACUAUCUCUGAUUUCAAUGGAGCAAGUAUUUUUCCCAUCCCACUGUCUCUCCGAUCGGAUCUCUGCUCCCUUUGUCACCCAUUCUAUUUUUUUUGAAGCUCUUUCAAACAUUUUCAGAGGAAAUUAACUGAUUUCAUCUCUCCUAGUUUUAACAUUUCUGUAAUAUAAUUGUAUUCUUUGUCCUGCAAGGGAACUCUGGCAGUACACUUUUUGAGUUUUCCAUCUUGCACAGUUCAUUUCUGUAGGAAUCAAUAAAGGUCACACUAUUUAAAAAUGCACAGCCUGAGCAGAGUGCAGAAAAGACCACAGAGCUGCUCAGUGUUGCCACAGCAAUGCAUGUAUUUUUUUUCAGCAGCAGAUGGUAGGGCUGACAUCUGCAAAAGCAAAGGGCACAGCUGGGUUACAUCUCAGGUUAUGGAAAGCAACAACAUCUACUAUGUGUCACCUGUUUUGACUGCAUAAUUCAUUUUUCUCUGAGAACAAAGAGCUUCCCCUAUGCAUAGAAAAUGACUCUGUGUUUCCUAUUUAAAGUGAUGCCUCUUACUCCAGUGGGGAUAAAAAAAUCAAGGGCCUGUAGUACUAACAUGACAUUCAUAACAAAAAGCAAAGCUAACAGCCUCCAAGGUGUUUUCUACAUUCUGGAAUUAAAACCAUUUUCAUGACAGAUAUUAACCUAAGAGCAAUAACCAGUAUUUUAACAAAAAAGGAAGGAUAUUUUCUGUGGGAUUGUGUGUAUUUCAUUGCUGCACUGUUUUUUAAAGCAAUGGUGAUGCUCACAUUGAGGAUGUCAGCUGAUGUGGCCUUGCUGUGGCUGGAGCACUGUAGGGGCAGUGAGAGCUGGGGACAAGGGUGCCCACAUGUCCAGGGGACACCAGGAAAGCCCCAGCCCUGCUCCCCCUCCCCAGCUGGCUGCAGUCUUUCUACCCAAAUGGAGAGGAAAACAGCUUUUGGUCCUGGGGAAGGAGUUAGCAAACCCAAAGGAAGCAUACAGCAGUUUCCAACCAGUGAGCAGGAACUGGUGGAUUUUAGAUCACACUGAUUGUAUCUUUCUGGCUUUACUGUCCAGCAUUGCUGAAAAGAGCUUUUUGUAACUCUGUUGUGAUUCAGCCUGUGCCAAGUUCUUCCCAGUCUGGAUUCCACCCCAGGUAUUCCACUUCUGUGCAUUUUUUGGAUGUUCUGACCCAACACACAGCAGCACAGACAGGAACCUCUGCAGGGGAGGAUAUUCCUGAAUGCAGAGCAAACACCUGAUGCUGUCAGAUGCCCUGAUCUCAGCUCUGUGCACUCAGAGCAGCUGACAAUGCCAUUUGGUGUUUCCCUGGAAGCAGGCAGAGGGCAUGCACUCUCAGAGGAAGAGAGGGAAUGGCUGCAAGAGCACCCCAAAGUUCAGUCCCACCCCUUAUUUGUCCUGUAUUAAAGAUACUCUGUGUGCUUUCUGCCAGAGACUUUUCUGCUUGCUGGUGAUAAUGUUGCCUUGUUCAGAGGGGUCAGCAAGAACAGUACAGAGUAUUUUCCAAUUAAAUGGUUGGAAUUACCAAGCUGAGUCCUUUUAUUUAAAACAUUAAAAAAAAAAAGUAGCUUAACAUUUCAGCAAAACAAGAUCUCUUUGGCUUGAUUCAGGCUUGCAUCUAAAAACAAAAAAAGGGCAAGAGUGUGAGUGUGAAUGGCAUCCUGUCCUUGGAGUGAGAAAUAAACCCAAAAGUGAGGCUAUGCCUUCUGCAACUGCCAGGUCUGAACUCCUGAUGUCAGAGCUCAGCACUGAGGUGCUCAUAGCUCAGGCAUUUUGGGGUUUUUUGUCUGAUGUAUACAUAGUCUCAGUGGUACAGCAUUUCACAGCUUAAUGGGAAACUGCAGGGCUAUGCACAACUUUUGAGAAGGUCCAGAACAUCCUACAAAAUAGCAAUGAGAUCAGAUAGAAACAGUAAGAUAUAAAUACCUCACACUAAGGCAGUCCAAUCACUAUCUUGUUUUUAUUCAUAUACAGACAAUAUCAAUAAUUAUCAAGAAGCUAAUCUAUCAGACAGUGGGUCUCUAUCACCAAAAUCUGAGAGGCAGUUGAUAUCCAGCUCCCAGAGACUACUGCUGAUUAGGAGAAAUGACAAUGAACAACAAAACAGGAUUUUUCAUUCAUCACUCAGGUCUGGAGAUGUCCUUGGUACAACCAAAAGCACCUGUAGGGACCACAGAGAAGCUUUCCUCAGCCUUAGUCUCACCCUGGUGGAAUGCAGGAAUGGGCUCCCAUCAAAUGCUGUAAGCUAAAGGCCAUUUUCCAGCUGAAAUCAGUGAGAGCUGCAACAGCUCCUGUUCUCUGCUUCUCCCUAAAAUGUCCAAUUAAUUCUACCCAAGAACAAAAGUCUGCAACACUUUCAGAUAUUUGCCUUCUAAACAGAUUAAACUUGUUUUGAGGUGCCCAUCAUCCUUCCUUCUAAUCUCCCUGUAAAAGGAAACGAGGUGCUCCUGUCUCUGAAAGUGACAUAAUCAUAAUAAAUACAUUUGCUGGAAAAAAUUAAACAACAACAGGUGUCCUUCAGAGUCCACAAUGACUGUUAAAGGAAUUUACAUUUGUGAAUAAACAGCAGCAGAAAUUCUUUUUCUGACAGCUUCUCAUUAUUAAAAUUAGGACCCUGCUUAAUCCUGCACAUGUCAGUGGGACCCAAGAUGACCUGCUAAGUGCUGGUCACAGAAGUUAAUGUUGCAUAAGGCAAGCAUUACUGGAAGCAACCCUUUAAAAAAUAGCAUUAAAAAUAUUUUGGAGCUGUCUUUGUGGAUGUUGAAGUCAAUAGCAAAAUCCCCCAUCUCUCAGUGGAGCAAUGGAGCAGAGAUUUCAGGGACUGGGUGCAGCCAGGCCCCUGUGCAAUGGCACAAACUGUGUAGGUUUUAGGGACUUCCACUGGGAGGAGGGUUGUUCCCAAAAAACCAGAUGUGCACCACCAAACAAUGCCAAAGCUGAAGCUGCACAUCCUUGGAGAAAAUUCCUUAUUCUGUUCUACAGCCUUCCUGUCACCUUGACAGACCUUUUCCCCCUCUGCCUGCAAAAUGACGAUGCUGUGGUCAUUCUAAUAUGCUUUUAAAGUUUAAUACACUUGGAAAGUUUCUCCCUAGUGUUGUUAAAUUACCCAUUUUGAGAAAUAAGAUAUCCCACAAUGCCAUAAUUUUGAGUGAGAUCUUAAAUUCAAGCCCUGAUCACUUAGCAGAGAGCACAUACCACAUAUGCUUAAUGAGGCUUACUGUGAGCAGUGUUGGGGAAGGUAGGGAAGCUUUUAUGCUGACUAGAUUUCUAUUUCUUUUUCCCCUGUAUAUUUUAUUGCUACUCAAAAGUUAAGGAUGGAUAGGAAAACCAUGCAUUUGCAGCAGAUUUGUCAAAAGGUAAAAAUAUUGAUUUUUGAAGAAGCUUGCCCGGAGUGUAAAAGUAAGUCCAAGUUAAAAUCAAUAGGGAUAAAUUAGGACUUCUCCAGCUAUAUAAAUGUUGCAUUAACAGAGCCUUUAAUGCAUAAAAAUCCAGUGCAUCAGAUGACAAUAGCAGUUUAAACGUACUUUUUACUUAAAUUUUGAAAGGCAAAGUAAAACAUCCAUUACCUGCCAGUCUAAAUUUUGAACAGCAGAGCAGGUAAGUUUUUGAGAGACAUUAUUUCCAUAUAUACUAUUUUCCCAGCGGUAGGAGUGCCACCAGUGCCUGCUAUCCUCACAUGUUCAUGCUCAGCCUCUGCUGUACCAGCAUGGCACUGCACAGCUCCUCCUUGGGGAGGAUGCUCUUGUCCCAGGAGUGCAGAGAAACACCAGCUGGGCAAAUUUCAUAACCCUUUUUGUGGCCACCUCCAAAGGUUUCCAUCUGUCUGUGAAGCCCUAGUCCCAAACACCAAUGGGGCUUCUCACACCGAGCUGGUCACCAGUGGAAUGAGUAAAGGGAUAACCCCGUUCUGAGCCUUUCUGCUAAAUUAGAUGCCACCAUUAGGAUGAUAUGUCCUUGUCCUUAAUUACCUUUUUGCUCCAGGGUGCAUGAGACAUUGUCCUUCAAUAACUUCUUUGCUACUCCUGGGCCCAUAUUACAUUUAUUCCUAUCCUGUUUUCUCCUUUUUGAUUUUCAGCGAUUAUAGCAAGUUUCCAGCAUAGCCCCUUGCUUGAUCAAGUUGUCCCCCUGCAUCUCUCCAAUUAUUUUAACCCUGUGAUGUCUGGCUGAAUUAAGCUAGAGACCAUAGAAGAGCAGGAUUUCCCAUGUGGCCACUCCUCUGACCUUGCCUCAUCUGCCUGGAGAGUUUGUCUUGGUAAUUUUAAAUAUCUCCUUGUCUCAGAUCACUGAACAAGGGUAGCACUGCCCCUCAGGCACCUUUUGGCACCAGUAUGAAUUAUAUGAGUAUUUUCCUGUAUAUGAAAUUCUCCUAGGGACCUGAAGAAACACUCUGGAUUGUUGGGAACACCCUGUGACUGACCACAGCAGGGCCAGCCCCAGAGGGGGUCUGAGGGCUCAGCUGUGGUGUGUUUGCAGCAAGAGAUGAGACCAAAAUUCAUCUUCCAAGUGCUGCCUGUCUUACCAAUAGCCUCACACUCAGCCAGAGCUGUCCUGUGAGAGAAGGUCAGCAGCCAUUCCCCUUGAGUCUGAGAAUGGAUUGUUUAAAUACUUAGGAUGGGCUUUCAGACCAUACAUUCUUGCUGCAGUUUUGCUAUUCAUGAGAAGUGGCUCAAAGGAGACUUUUCAAUUGCUUAUGUGGGAGGAAACAUUUGGCAACCAGGCAGAGAAAAACAGAUUUUUUUAGGAGAUGCCUUAUCCCCAAAGUACAAUUGUUUUGUCACACAUUUCUUUCAGUCUCUCAAGGUUGAGAAGAUUUUGGCAGCAAUAACUGUGGAGCUUGCAAAAGACAUGGUUUCCAGCCCAUUGUGUCAGAUGACCCUAAUGAGACAGAUCCCUGGUGUCUGUGAGUGGGCCCAGCUCCAUUUACAAUGGGACAAGACUGAUUUACACUGCACAAGAUAAGACCCAAUAUGUUUUAAACUUGGAAGCUACAAUUAUAACUGAACACAGUUAUAUGGCUCAAACCUUUAUUCUGCUUCAGUUCUGUGCAUGAUGCCACUUCCGUGGACUGUGGUAAUGAAAAUUAUACCAUUACAACAGUUUUGAU